AGGAUAAACGCUGGCGGCGUGCCUAACACAUGCAAGUCGAACGCCCUACGCAAGUAGGGAGUGGCGGACGGGUGAGGAACACGUGGGUAAUCUGCCCUUCGGUGAGGAAUACCGGCGAGAAAUCGCCGACAAUACCGCAUACGUUUCACGGAAGUGAAAGAAAGUCGUAAGACGCCGAGGGAUGAGCCUGCGCCCGAUUAGUUUGUUGGUGGGGUAAAAGCCUACCAAGACUACAAUCGGUAGCUGGUCUGAGAGGACGAUCAGCCACACUGGGAUUGAGAACGGCCCAGACUCCUACGGGGGGCAGCAGUGAGGAAUUUCGUCAAUGGGGCAACCCUGAACGAGCAACGCCGCGUGCAGGAAGAAGGUUUUCGGAUCGUAAACUGCUUUUCUGUGGGAAGAGAACGGACGGUACCACAGGAAGAAGCCCCGGCUAACUACGCGCCAGCAGCCGC
rnacentral:rRNA from 1 species